rnacentral:lncRNA from 1 species
CGCGAAUUUGCAUGAAAAAUGUGUGAGAAAAGCUAGCUCCGGUGACCUCAUCCGCACCUGCCAUUAACGUUCAAUUAGCGGCUGAAUAGUGGCUGCCGACGCGACGUGCAGAGAAUCCUGCCUGCCCCGCGCAGCUCGGCGGCUGGCGGGGCGCGGGAUCGGGAGGAGGGGCGCGGCGAGACUCAGGGCUCCGCCUGCGGCUCGGGGCUCCAACACCCAGGGCCUCCGCACCCCUAAUCUCAAAGGACCCCAGAACCCCAGAGCCCUGGAGCACUAGGCAGUUUGGGGCGAGUCGGAGCCUUGGAGUGCAGGCUCUCCGGGUCUGCCGGACCGGUGGUGGCGGGCGAGUCGUGUCCCGGCUCAGACAGGCUUCCUCGCCACCUUCCGGACAAAGUGUCAAGUACAAGUUCAAGUUCAGGGGUUGGCCCCAGGAGGAAGGGGGUGGGGGGAGCCAUCCCCAGCUGCCUUUGUUCUCCGGGAUAAGCGCUCUCACGUCCCCGUCCCGGGCGGGGCUCGGCAGAUACCCCCGCCCCGCCCCGCCGCGCCCCGCAGGAGCCACCUCCUCCCGCCCGCACGGCGCCUGUGCCUGGGUCCCGGCGACCCUCCUCAGGGCCACCGAAAGGUCUUGGGGCUUGGGGAGGGGGCGGGGGGGGCGGUCCCUGCCCGUGGGAGCCUCCCCGGCCCCGCAGUCCCAGCAGCAAACUGCGCUUGGUCGGACGGGAUGCCCGCGCAGAGGGAAGUUGAGAGAAGGCAUGCCUUUGGAGACUGGAAACCUGGAGGUCAUUUCUGAGCAAGAAUUCUGGGAAUCCUUCAGGUCUUCAAUCUCUGCUCGCAGCACCUGGGUAGAGAUGGUUCCAGGGAGGAGCCUGAGUGGGCGAUUCAGUUCCAGAGCCGCAGUAGUAGCACCACCCAAACUUGGAAAAAGAAUCAUGUUGAUCGCCAGAGAAGGAAUCUCAUCGGAAGUAGACUUCAUUCAGAGGGGUGCCAGUAGCAAAGAGGCUCCUGGAUUGCAUCCUGACUGCCCUGGAGGGAGGAUGUGA